UGAAAUCUUCCUUCUUUUCAACAGGUGCUAGCAUUUCUUCAGAAUGUGUUAACGCUUAACAACCUGACUGUGGAGAUGACACAGGAUUUCAUGCCUUACAAGCAAGAGUUGCAGCUCAGCUUGCAGAACACGAGAAACCACUAUGAGAGCACUCGGGAGCAGAUGGAGGAGCUGAUGAAAAGAAUGACGCACCCAUGCAAAUUUCGAAAAUGCGCAGUUUACUGCCAAUGGAGGGCUAUCUGUACUGUCAGGAGAAGUGGGCUUUGGGUAUGACGUGGGUCAAAUAUUAUUGCAAGUAUGACAAAGAGGACCACAUUCUUGUCAUGAUACCUUGUGAACAGAAGCCUACAACUAAACAGG